UGGGCUAGCAAGUGGCUUGUUUCGCUAAUGUUAGCCAGGUUGCUGGCUAAACGGUGAGACUCGCGUUCAUCCAACAAAAGCAUCAGCUGCGUCUGUUUCCACUCUGAUAACCGAACGAUUUAGCAAACCGGCUUUACACACCGCCACCAGCUGGACGGACUGUGCAACAGCAGUUUCAGUACAGAAAACGUAAAGAUGUGAACUCAGUUUGUUGCUGACGGUGGAAAAUAAGCACAUUUAUUCAAGUAAUGUAGCGUCUGUUGAUGGCACUUUGACCUGCACCAGAUACAAGCUGUGCUAUCAUCACACUUUGUCGGCAGAUAAACAUCCUGUGAGUUAAUGGUUAACGUCUGCUGUGGUGUGAUGACCGAAGUCGGGUCAGUGUGUUUAUGAAUCAGUAUUGCAGUUUUGAACACAGCUGGCACAAUAAAUGCAAUGAGCUCAUAGACUGCAUGGACACAGAAAACAGUUGUGCAAUCUGGAGACUUUACAAACCAGCAGCAGUGUGUUAACAUCAGAUGGAAACAGCUCGGUGCUCUGAUACCGGGUCUGCGCC